UAAGUAAAAUCGUGGUGUCGCUCUGGUGACAUUUCGGAAUUGGGUUGUCUUAACCUUUCUGGUCAAGUGGCCUGAAAUUGACGUCUCUUUUGCGCAUCCCGGACGUGUAUAAUUCGUUUAUCCGUUUUCGAUGCCAAUCUUUUACUAGGUAUGGACACGUUUCGUGGUCUCGUACCCAUAGUCUUUCGUA
rnacentral:misc_RNA from 1 species